UUGUUCGAUUUAACUUGUUCUCAGACUUCAGUUUUCCAGGCAGGGUUGGCUGAUUCCGGCAGGCGGGGGGGCCCUCCGCGAACAGAGGGGGUCCCUCCCGCCAGGCGCCGAAUCCGGGCCGCGGUUGCAAAGGGUGGGGGAUUGCGGCGCGAGGCCGUUUACCCGUUAAUGAUCCUUCCGCAGGUUCACCUACGGAAA
rnacentral:misc_RNA from 1 species